rnacentral:rRNA from 1 species
AGAUUGAACGCUGGCGGCAUGCCUAACACAUGCAAGUCGAACGGGAGUAGCAAUACUCUAGUGGCGGACGGGUGAGGAAUACGUAGGAAUUUGCCCUUAAGUGGGGGAUAACCCGGGGAAACCCGGAUUAAUACCGCAUGACCUCGAAAGAGCAAAGUGGGGGAUCGCAAGACCUCACGUCUUUUGGAGAAGCCUACGUCGGAUUAGCUAGUUGGUGAGGUGAUGGCUCACCGAAGGCGA